rfam:Hepatitis C virus isolate NK46, complete genome
AUGACCCCCGGCGAAGGUCACGCAAUUUAGGUAAGGUCAUCGAUACCUUUACGUGUGGCUUUGCCGAUCUCAUGGGGUAC